rnacentral:rRNA from 1 species
AGAAUCAACGCUGGCGGCGUGCCUAACACAUGCAAGUCGAACGAGAAAGUGGAGCAAUCCAUGAGUAAAGUGGCGACCGGGUGAGUAACACGUGACUAACCUACCUUCAAGUGGGGAUAAACCUCGGGAAACCGGGCUAAUACCGCAUAACAUCUUUGGAGUGGAAAUUCUGGAGAUCUAAAGGAGCAAUUCGCUGGAAGAGGGGUCGCGGCUGAUUAGCUAGUUGGCGGGUAAUGGCCCACCAAGGCUUUGAUCGGUA